CAAAACCAAGUCUUUGCCAAAAUAAAAGCAGAAGAGUGUUGUAUAAGUUUCCCUUUUGACGACUUUAUUUUUUUGACCAUGGUCCUCGAUGCUUCUCUUCCCGAUAACCCUUGCAUACUCUCGAACUACGAAUCUCACUCAACCAAUGACCAAUGGCUCACUUUCGGACAUCGAACCUUGCCUAAACGCCGACCACGGCUUACGUAUGGACUCCGACCCGAGCCCCAAUGUUAACCCCAGCCCGAUUUUGGAUAAUGCAACCAGCAAUUCCUCAAUCUCAUGAGGAACCUAUGAUAUGUAUCAAUUGUAUAGCUGACAUGAUGCAGAGGAGGCGACAUAGCCUAGAGCUUAUUAAGUUCAGUUGGUUAUAAUGUCAGUGGAUGACUCCUCAGCUGAUUGAUAACAGCAGUGUAUGUUGUCACUCAUGUUGGACUGUGGCCACGGUGUGGCUCUGCACCAAUCAAGGACAAAUAAUAUUUCAAAUGAAGAAGCAACCACUAGCACUGGUCACAGUUAACGUGGAUUAUCUUUGUUACAAAUAUGUUCCAUAGACUGCAUAUUAACACGGAAAGAGAAUCACAUAUUCGAAAAUAAUGUAAUAAUGGAACAGAUUUCACCUCGUCAACUGCGGGGAUCUGACCAAAUAUGUCAUCCCUGAUGGCAGUGAGCUGAUCGAGCCCCAACAAACACAUGAUAGGACGAGGAUUCAUUUGCCCUGAUAUUGGCCGAAUAACAGUAGGUUGCUGUGCUCAUGUUAUGACAAUUUUGUGGUUUUUGAGCUGGGCAAGGUAUCAGGAACAUGUAUUUCCACCUGCCUAGUUCCUAGACAAUAUUUUAU